UACGAAGGGUGCAAGCGUUACUCGGAAUUACUGGGCGUAAAGCGUGUGUAGGUGGUGAGUUAAGUCUGUCGUGAAAGCCCCGGGCUCAACCUGGGAAUGGCGAUGGAUACUGGCUCGCUAGAGUGCGGUAGAGGAGAGUGGAAUUCCCGGUGUAGCAGUGAAAUGCGUAGAGAUCGGGAGGAACAUCAGUUGCGAAGGCGGCUCUCUGGACCAGCACUGACACUGAGGCACGAAAGCGUGGGGAGCAAACAGG
rnacentral:rRNA from 1 species